rnacentral:tRNA from 1 species
AGGAGUGUAGCUCAGCUGGUAGAGCAUCGGUCUCCAAAACCGAAGGUUGUGGGUUCGAGACCUACCACUCCUGCCA